rnacentral:rRNA from 1 species
ACCGUGCAAAGGUAGCAUAAUCAUUAGUUUUUUUAUUGGAAGCUGGAAUGAAGGGUUUGACGAGAAAGAGACUGUCUUAAUCUAAUUAUUUGAAUUUUAUUUUUGAGUGAGAAAGCUUAAAUAGUUUUGAGGGACGAGAAGACCCUAUAGAAUUUAAUAGUUUAUAUAUUUUAAAAUUUUGGUUUAUGUUAAUUGAUGUAAAUUUAAAUUAAUUUGUUGGGGUGAUAGGGAAAUUUGAAUAACUUUCUUUUGUAUUUUUCAUUAAUAAGUGAUUAUUUGAUCCAUUAGUAGUGAUUAUAAGAAAAAAUUACCUUAGGGAUAACAGCGUUAUUAAUCUGGAGAGUUCAAAUCGAGAGAUUAGAUU